UAGCAUACCAUUAAAAAAAAAGUCUCUUCCCCUCUUGACAGAAUUCUCUGGGGGGAUUAGAGAGAGAAGAAAAAUUACUUUCUCCCCACUUGAAGAAGAUAUUAAGAGGAUGAUGGAACUGCCUUAUUGUGAGCCCCUCGAGGGACAGGGUCUGGGUCUAAUUCCCCCUUGGGCCCCCUUUGCCAUUACUUUCAACCCCAUCCUGUCCAUCCCCAGCCCCCUCCCCAUCUUUCCAGCCACAGACUUUGCCAUGGGUGCAGAGUAUGAAGUUGCUUUUAAUAUGAAAACAUGCCUCUUUCAAAGGAAUGAAUGAAUCAAUCGUAUUCAUUGAGCGCUUACUAUGUGCAGAGCAGUCUACUAAGCGCUUGGGAGAGAACAACAGAAUUAGCAGACAUUCCCUGCCCGUAACCGGCUUACCCCAUAUAGCCUUUCCUAAGAGGAGUGGGCUGCGUUUUUUCUCUAUGACUUUGAUAAUUUUCAGUAAGAACGAAGAUUGGCUUUUGGUGGCGAAUUAUACCCAGACCGAGAAAGCCAAAUGAUGAAUAUAGUUGUGCGCAGCAAGCGAAGCCCGGUGUGGCCUGGAUUUCAAAACCAGAUAAAGCGUGCAGUGACCGAAGGGAUUUUAAGUGCGUUCUACCGUGAAUCCGUUUCUGCUAAUUCCCGACUCAACCACCUAUCGAAUGCCAUCUGUACGAAUUAGAUUGGUUCCUGGAUCAUAAGUAGGGCGAUCCAUUUCCAAGUGACGUACUUUCAGCCUCUUCCCUAGUGACUUCCAAAAGCUCAUGGCUACAUCUGCUGGGUUCUUGGGGAAGUGAGUGCUCUUAGUGAAUAGGUUCAGUACCUUAGGCCAUUAAAAAUAUCAGUGGUCCUUGAGCAAAAUGACAAAAUUUUACAAUCUGUGUAAACCUCCAAUAAAGCCACGUGAUCUAUGACUUUGAAACGUUUGGGUUUCAAGUGUUUCCGCGAUCUUUUGUGUCCAACUAAGUCUCCUUAAUGGGAACCCAAGCAUCCUGCUACGACGGGAAAUCUAAAGGGAUUUGAAAGCGCCGGAUCAAGCAUCGCUAAUCCAAGGGCACGAUCUCAUCUGCCACCCGGGAGGUGAGCUCCAUCUCAGCAGGGGAAGUAUCAUCCCUCUUAUUACUACAAAGGAUAGAGGCUGGGGAUCUCUGACGGCAAUAACCAUCCAAGAACAGCAGCUGUAAAUCAGGCAUUUGCUCCGAAAAAGAAACAUCCGUGGUCACCCAUCGAACUGUAGAGAGCCGCCCCGCGGAUGAUUCGAUACCCACGCCACCUGAGCAGCCCGCGGUGACCGGGGCCUCGACUGCUCAAGAAAGGAACGCCCGGCGCCCGCUCGGCCUCCCCGCGGCCGAGAUCCGCGGCUUCGUCGAUUCCAGGCCGGGUGGCCGCGACCGCGCAACGCCGCCGAGUCCUCAUUUGGGAUCUGUAACGGGAACCCAGCUGAAGUGGUAAAGCCAAGCCGACCUCGACCUGCAAGCUGCGAAGCAACAGCCCGAGUUGCUCAGAUGUGUCUUUCGUGUUUGGAUAAUUCAAAUAACUGAUAAUGCUUUCGGUUAAAUCUCCCCAUCUUCAGAAUUCCCCACAGCUCCUGUUGACCGACGGAGAAUGUGGAUGCUAGGGUGGCCGCUUUCAGGUUUGGCUCGACGAGAGGCUUGGGAAAAUUGCCCACUUCUUUCUUGUCCUGGUGGUAGUCGGUCGGUGGAAGGAGAACGGCUCUGGGAAUCGGGAAUCCUGGAUCCUAGCCGAAUCCCGCAAAUAGGGGAAUGCCCGCUGGCGUUCACCAAUACGUCGGUGAAGGCGUGUCGCACCCGCCGCCAACGUCAACAGGGGCUGUGGAAAACGGGCAAGGGCCGAGGGAAACGGUUCGGCCGAGAAAAGCUCCGACAGGCUGACGGGACGGCCCCGCAGAUGGAUUCAGACAGAUCGCAGAAUGGCUUUCAGGGUCCUCGCCGCUUCGUCGAGGGUGGCCGUGGAGACUGGACGUGCCGAAGCGGCCCCUUUACGCAGCUUUGUUCCCCCUCGCGUCCCCCCGCUUCCGUGGCUUCCCUUUCCUCCGUGUCACCUCAGAUUACGCUGAAUCUCUGUGUGGCCGAGGCCAGCUUCCUCGCCGCUUUCUACCCGCUCCAACACGCGUUCGCAUCAUUUCCUCCCGACUAGGAGCACUCCACCUUUGCUUUGCCAGACCACAUCCCUCUCCCUCUCUCAAAGCUCUAUUAAAUACAAAGGCUCAGACGAUGCUGCCUCCUAGCUGAAAACGGCUAGUCAGUUGCUGAGGAAGAGCCGCUCGGGGCACGGCCACCAAGGAGGGAGCGGCUCUCCAAGGAGAAGCUGCGGAAGGAAGGAGACCGGAAGGCGAAAGAGAAAACAGUGCCGGGCACCGCAAACAAGUGAGGCCAACCAAAAAGGGAUGACGUUUUUGUGGCUGCAGGACUGCAGGUCCCACAGUGGCCUUUUCGACCGGACACUCGCUCAGAGGCGGCUUUCACCAUCAGCGGUGUCGUCAGCUAAUAUGGCGGACGGUUCUACGUGAACUAAAAACGCACCUUAUCCGUGAAGCCUCCUCCCGUUCCCCUUCGUUCUCCUCUCUUUCCCCUCUUCUCUGGGUAUAAAACUGCCCACACCAACCAUCCCGGCACGUGUUUCGCUUUAAAAGCAUAUGAGUGUAUUUUUGCUGUUUUGCCGAUUGUUAUCUUGGCACUUAUUAAGUAUUUACUGCCUGUCAUGCACUGUACUAAGUA